UGUGGGAGCGAGCUUGCUCGCGAAGGCGUCCUUUCAGUAAAUAGCGUGAUUACUGAUACACCGCAUUCGCGAGCAAGCUCGCUCCCACA
rnacentral:antisense_RNA from 1 species